rnacentral:rRNA from 1 species
CCCUGCCAUUUGUACACACCGCCCGUCGCUCCUACCGAUUGAAUGGUCCGGCGAAAUCUUCGGAUUGCUGACCAAAGCACUUAUCUGUUUUGGUUGCGAGAAGUUGAUUAAACCUUAUCAUUUAGAGG